rnacentral:lncRNA from 1 species
GGUAACGGAGCCCCGCCGCAGAUCCAGAGCUCCAGCUCUGGUCUGGGUUUCCCGGUUUGUGGGACCUGGCCCUUCCCUGCCUAGCUCUCCAGACCCCAAGGAGGGAGGCCAGCGUGGGAAGUGAAUCAGUUUGACUCUCAAGAGGCCCAACUGUCCCCAUCUUGGGAGCCGGGAGAGACCGGUCACCGGUGUCCUAAAGGCCAGCCAACACAAGAAAGAAGGCUAUUGAGGGCUCAUCCAACCCAGUACUGCCUGCCACAGCAACUGAUAAGGACUCCCCAGUGACCCUUCUCACUCGGAUGCUCUUCCUGGAAGCCACUGUUGGAGACAGCUCCUACCUGUGCCAUGCUCUCCAACAAAAACUGGUCCCGGGGGCUGGCGAGAUGGCUCAGCGGGUAAGAUGACUGCUCUUCCGAAGGUCCUGAGUUCAAAUCCCAGCAACCA